GACGAACGCUGGCGGCGUGCCUAAUACAUGCAAGUAGAACGCUGAAGGAGGAGCUUGCUUCUCUGGAUGAGUUGCGAACGGGUGAGUAACGCGUAGGUAACCUGCCUGGUAGCGGGGGAUAACUAUUGGAAACGAUAGCUAAUACCGCAUAAGAGUAGAUGUUGCAUGACAUUUGCUUAAAAGGUGCAAUUGCAUCACUACCAGAUGGACCUGCGUUGUAUUAGCUAGUUGGUGAGGUAACGGCUCACCAACGCGACGAUACAUAGACGACCUGAGAGGGGGAUCGGCCACACUGGGACUGGGACACGGCCCAGACUCCUACGGGAGGCAGCAGGAGGGAAUCUUCGGCAAUGGACGGAAGGCUGACCGAGCAACGCCGCGUGAGUGAAGAAGGGUUUCGGAUCGGAAAGCUCUGUUGUAAGAGAAGAACGAGUGUGAGAGUGGAAAGUUCACACUGUGACGGUACCUUACCAGAAAGGGACGGCUAACUACGUG
rnacentral:rRNA from 1 species